rnacentral:sRNA from 1 species
UAAAACAAGAUAAACAAGUAAGUGUCGC